ensembl:lncRNA
GCCCUGGUGGGGCCUGACAUCAUAAAAAUCUUGAAGAUUACAACUUAGCACAUGUAGCUGAGUCCUUCCAUGUUCAUAGUUUUUGUUAGCAGUUAUACUCUAAGUAGUCUGUAUCACAUAAAUAGGCCAAUGCAUGCAUAACACUGAUAUGGACAUUUGAAUAGCAACAAUUUAUUUAUUUUACCCAGCCAGGCGAUCUGCUGGGUCAAUAUCACGUCAGAUGUGCAGUAUGUUUGAGGAUCUAUGGAUUCACAAGCUCUGUUUCUUCCAAUCAGUCAAAGAAACUCCUUCAAAAUUCCUGCAAAGACAGUCUGAGACAGAGGUAGAAACCUGUACACCAAAGCUGCAUCAGAAGACUGCACCAAAAUCCCUGGAAGCUUCAUAACUGAAUCAGAAUCAGAUGAUUGAUGAUGUCUUGCAGUCUGUGAAGUAACUGGGACACUCUUCAGUCUGUCUCGAUCAUGACACCCAGUGCUGAAGCAGAUGGUCGCCCUCUUUGAGCCUGGUUCUGCUGGAGGUUUCUUUUUGUAAAAGGAAAGGUUUUUUUUGUAGAAUCAAUCCAGUCUGUAUUCAGUGAGAGAAAAAGAGUCAAAACUGUGAUUUAAAACAUUAUUUUCUGAUAACUAUCAAACAUGAAACACUUUGUUAAUGUGAAAAUUACAGUGAAAAGUGAUUUUUAAAAGUGUGCACAGUGCACAUUUUGUGAGAAUGUACUGUAAGAACCACUGUUAUAGUCAGCAGGUAACUUUUUUAAUUACAUAAUUUUCUUGAUUAAUCCAAAAAAAAAUGCUGCUCACUGGAGCUCUAGUGACAUCAAAAGUCAUGUUUUGUCCAAUAAACAUCCCAAAUCACACUAUAUUCAUCUAAUAGCAACUUAAGACCAAAAAAGGCAGCAAUUUCUUAUCCUUUAAAGUCUUGACAUAUCAAAUAUAUGGUAUUUUUUGGCUGAAAACUGUUGUUAAACUUAAUUAAUUGUCUAAAUAAUUGACUAUUCAGCUAGCAAACUAAUAGCUACAGCUCUAAUACAGAUUUACAGUAUGAUGUAUU